rnacentral:rRNA from 1 species
UCAGGAUGAACGCUAGCUACAGGCUUAACUACAUGCAAGUCGAGGGGAAACGAUAGAGAAAGCUUGCUUUUCUAGGCGUCGACCGGCGCACGGGUGAGUAACGCGUAUCCAACCUGCCCAUCACUUGGGGAUAACCUUGCGAAAGUAAGACUAAUACCCAAUGACGUCUCUAGAAGACAUCUGAAGGAGAUUAAAGAUUUAUCGGUGAUGGAUGGGGAUGCGUCUGAUUAGCUUGUUGGCGGGGUAACGGCCCACCAAGGCGACGAUCAGUAGGGGUUCUGAGAGGAAGGUCCCCCACAUUGGAACUGAGACACGGUCCAAACUCCUACGGGAGGCAGCAGUGAGGAAUAUUGGUCAAUGGACGAGAGUCUGAACCAGCCAAGUAGCGUGCAGGAUGACGGCCCUAUGGGUUGUAAACUGCUUUUAUAAGGGAAUAAAGUGAGUCUCGUGAGGCUUUUUGCAUGUACCUUAUGAAUAAGGACCGGCUAAUUCCGUG